rnacentral:lncRNA from 1 species
GUUAUGAACUCUCAGAAUCCAGGGAAAAGGCUAAAGUUGUAUUGACAUUCUAUUCUAUUUUUACCCUCUACCGUUUCUGUUUCUUACGGUUAGAAUAUGGCAAAACCUCACUCUUUAUAAUUGGUUCAAUGCCUGGCUAAUGCCUCCAAACAAUCAUUUGAAUCCAGAAGUUUCUAUAUCAGCCUCUAUGAGGCCAUGGGAAAAGUUACUCAUCUACAAGAGCUGCCCUAAUACAAACCAGCCUCUGCUCCUCUAGGGGACACAGACAGGAUCAAUCUCCCAUUUUGGUUAAAAAAGAAAACAAACUCUCUUCCUGAAAGACAUCAUGAAUUUGGAGUGUUUAUUUUGGCUAAAUCCAAGGUAAUUAAUUGUUUAAUGUGGAUGCUAUGGAGAAGAAAAAUAACUCAUGCACAUGGAUAGCAAUAUCUUCAAGAAAAGAGUUUCAGAGUACAAGUGGGGAGCUCUGUGCCACCAAACUGAGGUGGCUCCUGAGACAGAGUUGUAACCCCAUAAAAAGAUUUUUAGGUAUUGUGGUAAGAGAGAAAGAGAGCUAAAUGGAAACUAAAUGAGAGCUAAAAAAAGAGAGCUAAAGAGAGCUAAAUGAAUUCAAUGAGUGCAGAGAGACUUUGGCAAUCUUACUAGCAGAGAAUGAAAAAUGAUGACAAAUCAUGCUGUAAGUUGGUGUACUGGCCCCAGUUUCUCACCGCUCCCUGAAUCUACACUCUCUCCACAGCCUCAUGAGGGUAUGUCUCUGACUCUUGACUGUGGCUCAUCAUGAGACUUUCAUUGGCCAGCGAAAUGUGAAUGGAAAUGACAUGGUGCUAAUUUCAAACUUAGCACUUAGGAAGCUUCACACAUUAUCUCUCACCCUCUUGUUCUCCUGUGAUUGCUGAGACAAGAACAUUUUUUAGCUAGUCAGCCACAGUGCGAAACAGAGCUGUCCUAGACAUUGUGGCUUGAGGCAGAGCUGCCUCACCUGCCCUGCAAACUUGUAAGUGAGAACUAAAUGCUUACCUUUAUAUGCUACUGAGAUUUGAGGAUUGCUAUACGAGCAAGAGCUGACUGACACAAAUGAAAAGCAAGGAAGAAAGGCCGGGAAGAACUCAGGGUGUUCUGAAGAGACGAGAGAAGCCUCAGCUUGUUAAAAUUUAUAUUCAAAGCCUAUAUCUGUAACUAUUUUACUAUUUUGUCUCCAAAGUUUUCUACUGUAU